rnacentral:rRNA from 1 species
UUUUAGCUUGCUAGAAAGUUGGUUAAUGGGGCCCGGGUGAGUAAUGCAUAGGUUAUGUGCCCCAUAGUCUGGGAUAGCCACUGGAAACGGUGAUUAAUACUGGAUACUCCUUACGCAGGGAAAGUUUUUCGCUAUGGGAUCAGCCUAUGUCCUAUCAGCUUGUUGGUGAGGUAAUGGCUCACCAAGGCUAUGACGGGUAUCCGGCCUGAGAGGGUGAACGGACACACUGGAACUGAGACACGGUCCAGACUCCUACGGGAGGCAGCAGUAGGGAAUAUUGCUCAAUGGGCGAAAGCCUGAAGCAGCAACGCCGCGUGGAGGAUGAAGGUUUU